ACUUCCGCCUGAAGAUUUACGGGCCAUAUAGCAGCAAUGCUAUAUUGAAAACUACUCUAAUUGCUGGAAGGCUAAGUCCAAGAAAUUGGAUACGCUAAUCAGCAGCUAAGCUUUACUUUCAAGGUAAAGAAAGUUCAGAGAUCAGUCGCAAGACGUAGGUUCCAAGUGGAAUCGAAACGGGUAGCACCCCACUGGGGUGGUGAUAUGAUCCAAUCUCAUCGGAAACGGUGAG
rnacentral:ncRNA from 1 species